rnacentral:rRNA from 1 species
UACGAAGGGGGCUAGCGUUGCUCGGAAUCACUGGGCGUAAAGCGCACGUAGGUGGGUCGCUAAGUCGGGGGUGAAAUCCUGGAGCUCAACUCCAGAACUGCCUUCGAUACUGGCGAUCUUUGAGUCCGGGAGAGGUGGGUGGAACUGCGAGUGUAGAGGUGAAAUUCGUAGAUAUUCGGAAGAACACCAGUGGCGAAGGCGGCUCACUGGCCCGGUACUGACGCUGAGGUGCGAAAGCGUGGGUAGCGAAUGGG